rnacentral:tRNA from 1 species
UCCCUGGUACUUAAGAGGGUAAAGAACUUGCCUGCAAUGCAGGAGACUCAGGUUCAAUACCUGGGUGGGGAA